ACGUAGGGUGCGAGCGUUAAUCGGAAUUACUGGGCGUAAAGGGUGCGCAGGCGGUUUUGUAAGCCAGGGGUGAAAAAUCUCGGCUUAACCGGGGUAGUGCCUUUGAUACUGUUGGACUAGAGUAUAAUUGAGGUGACUGGAAUGUGAUGUGUAGCGGUGAAAUGCUUAGAUAUGUCACAGAACGCCGAUCGUGAAGACAGGUCACGAAAUUAUUACUGACGCUCAUGCACGAAAGCGUGGGGAUCAAACAG
rnacentral:rRNA from 1 species